AUAAAACUAAAUAAUAAAUUAAAUAUAAUUUAAAAAAUAAUUUAAAUAUUAAUAUUUUUAUUAAAAUAAUUUGCUUUUAUGGUGGAAAAGUUGUCCAAAAUAAUAAGAGGAAGAAAAAAAUCAAUAAUUAAUUAGCGUUGGGGAAAAAUUAUUCAGGUGCGGAUCAUUAAGAUGUAAUUACGAUAUAAGAAUCCCGUUGAUUUGGAUAAUUAUAGUCAUCCAUAUAUUGGCUUCUAUUAAGAACUUUGAAUGAUUCGUGGAGAACAACAGAUAUGUCAAAUAACGCAAAAAGAACAAUUAAAUUAAGUACCAAAACGUAAUGAGAAAUGUACAACAUAUGAAGCNUUUUUUUUCUCUGCUUGACGGUUGGGAAUGGGGAGUUUCUUUCUCCUUUUUUCACGAGAAUAAAACUUGAUUGUACUAAUUCACUUUAACAAUAAAACUAAAUAAUAAAUUAAAUAUAAUUUAAAAAAUAAUUUAAAUAUUAAUAUUUUUAUUAAAAUAAUUUGCUUUUAUGGUGGAAAAGUUGUCCAAAAUAAUAAGAGGAAGAAAAAAAUCAAUAAUUAAUUAGCGUUGGGGAAAAAUUAUUCAGGUGCGGAUCAUUAAGAUGUAAUUACGAUAUAAGAAUCCCGUUGAUUUGGAUAAUUAUAGUCAUCCAUAUAUUGGCUUCUAUUAAGAACUUUGAAUGAUUCGUGGAGAACAACAGAUAUGUCAAAUAACGCAAAAAGAACAAUUAAAUUAAGUACCAAAACGUAAUGAGAAAUGUACAACAUAUGAAGCGGGUAAAUUAUCUCGUGACACAGAUGACAACUCCACGCGUUAAUUCUUUUCGUACAUAUUUUUUUAAUAUUUUUUUAUAAAUUUAUCGGGUUAAUUAUGAUUAAUGAUGAUGAUGUUGAUG
rnacentral:lncRNA from 1 species